ensembl:snoRNA U8 U8 small nucleolar RNA
AUGUCAGGUAGGAUAAUUACCAUUCAGAGAGUUGAUUAAAACAUGCUGAUUGGAGUUGGCAUGAUGUGUGGUCAAUGUCUCUCUGUAAUCAGGACUUGCAGCACUCUGGUUUCUAGGGAGUGGC